AUAUUACUCCCUACGUUCGGAAUUAUUUGUCGCAGAAAUUGAUGUAUCUAGAUAUAUUUUAGUUCUAGAUAUAUUCAUAUCUGAGACAGGUAAUUCCGUACGGAGGGAGUACUUC
rnacentral:pre_miRNA from 1 species